AUGCCAUGUCGUGCCUGGCGCCGCCACCAUCCACGUCGUUCCUCUCGGCCUACUACACCGACGCCGCCAUCACGCAAGCGCUACACUUCUCCUCCAUGUCCAUGCCCGAGCACGAGUACGCUUACUCCCCCGCAGUCUCCUCCCCGUCCUCCGCCUCGGCGCCCUACUCCUCGUCCCUGCUCGCGGACUUCCCCGGCGGUGGCAGCUGGUUCGCGUCCACGGUCUCCCCGCCGACGAGAACCGCUCGCCUGCGACACCGUGCUGCUCGCGUCUGACGCGGCGCCGUCCGGCCCCGUCGGCGGCGCGGCGAACAAGAGGCGGGUCGGCCUUGGGCCCAAUGCAGCGGGCGCAAGGAAGCGGCGGGCGAGGGCGUCGAAGCGCGCGCCGACCACGUACAUCAGCACCGACGCGGCCAACUUCCGGCUCAUGGUGCAGCACGUCACCGGCGUCGAGGCCGAGCCCACGGCAGACGGCGCACUCCUGCCCGCGUUGUUCGACGCGUCCUCCGCCUCGGCGCUGGUGGACUGCUCCUCGUUCGACGGUGCGUUCGGGCACGCGAUGCAGCUACAGUCCGACGUGGACGCCGCGGCGCUCCAUCGCCACCACCAACAGCAGCAGCAGCAGCCGUGCUACCCGACGCUGGACUCGUGGAGCGUCAUGUAG
rnacentral:rRNA from 1 species